rnacentral:rRNA from 1 species
AGGGGGCCAUCCCGGCUUACCAACCCGAUGCAAACUGCGAAUACCGGAGAAUGUUAUCACGGGAGACACACGGCGGGUGCUAACGUCCGUCGUGAAGAGGGAAACAACCCAGACCGCCAGCUAAGGUCCCAAAGUCAUGGUUAAGUGGGAAACGAUGUGGGAAGGCCCAGACAGCCAGGAUGUUGGCUUAGAAGCAGCCAUCAUUUAAAGAAAGCGUAAUAGCUCACUGGUCGAGUCGGCCUGCGCGGAAGAUGUAACGGGGCUAAACCAUGCACCGAAGCUGCGGCAGCGACACUGUGUGUUGUUGGGUAGGGGAGCGUUCUGUAAGCCUGUGAAGGUGUGUCGUGAGGCAUGCUGGAGGUAUCAGAAGUGCGAAUGCUGACAUAAGUAACGAUAAAGCGGGUGAAAAGCCCGCUCGCCGGAAGACCAAGGGUUCCUGUCCAACGUUAAUCGGGGCAGGGUGAGUCGACCCCUAAGGCGAGGCCGAAAGGCGUAGUCGAUGGGAAACGGGUUAAUAUUCCCGUACUUGGUGUUACUGCGAAGGGGGGACGGAGAAGGCUAUGUUGGCCGGGCGACGGUUGUCCCGGUUUAAGCGUGUAGGUGUGUGUUCCAGGUAAAUCCGGUUCACUUUAACACUGAGGCGUGACGACGAGGCACUACGGUGCUGAAGCAACAAAUGCCCUGCUUCCAGGAAAAGCCUCUAAGCAUCAGGUAACAUCAAAUCGUACCCCAAACCGACACAGGUGGUCAGGUAGAGAAUACCAAGGCGCUUGAGAGAACUCGGGUGAAGGAACUAGGCAAAAUGGUGCCGUAACUUCGGGAGAAGGCACGCUGACACGUAGGUGAAGUGAUUUACUCAUGGAGCUGAAGUCAGUCGAAGAUACCAGCUGGCUGCAACUGUUUAUUAAAAACACAGCACUGUGCAAACACGAAAGUGGACGUAUACGGUGUGACGCCUGCCCGGUGCCGGAAGGUUAAUUGAUGGGGUCAGCGCAAGCGAAGCUCCUGAUCGAAGCCCCGGUAAACGGCGGCCGUAACUAUAACGGUCCUAAGGUAGCGAAAUUCCUUGUCGGGUAAGUUCCGACCUGCACGAAUGGCGUAAUGAUGGCCAGGCUGUCUCCACCCGAGACUCAGUGAAAUUGAACUCGCUGUGAAGAUGCAGUGUACCCGCGGCAAGACGGAAAGACCCCGUGAACCUUUACUAUAGCUUGACACUGAACAUUGAGCCUUGAUGUGUAGGAUAGGUGGGAGGCUUUGAAGUGUGGACGCCAGUCUGCAUGGAGCCGACCUUGAAAUACCACCCUUUAAUGUUUGAUGUUCUAACGUGGACCCGUUACCCGGGUUGCGGACAGUGUCUGGUGGGUAGUUUGACUGGGGCGGUCUCCUCC